rnacentral:rRNA from 1 species
UACGCAGGGGGCUAGCGUUGUCCGGAAUUAUUGGGCGUAAAGAGCUCGUAGGCGGUCUGUCGCGUCUGCUGUGAAAACUCAGGGCUUAACCCUGAGCUUGCAGUGGGUACGGGCAGACUAGAGUGCGGUAGGGGAGACUGGAAUUCCUGGUGUAGCGGUGAAAUGCGCAGAUAUCAGGAGGAACACCGGUGGCGAAGGCGGGUCUCUGGGCAGUAACUGACGCUGGAGGAGCGAAAGCGUGGGGAGCGAACAGG